CAGUACAACUUCCCACUUUCGUGGAUAUUCAUUGCCUGAAGGUGUAGAAACAGUCAUCCCUUCAGGAUUUAUGGUAGAAUCUAAGAUUCUUCAGUCCUUGGGCUAUCCCCUGCCACCGCCACUCUUGUUUGAGCUCAAUGGGAGAUUGGCUGGUAGUUUUGAAGAGCAUUUUGGUCAACUUCAUUAUUGGGAAGGGUAUCCUUUCGAUUUCUCUUAUGAUUAUGGGAGGUAUCCUAUCUGGGAUCAACUUGGUGGAACAUUAACUCGGCAAAUU